CUGCGAAUGGCUCAUUAUAUAAGUUAUCGUUUAUUUGAUAGUACCUUGCUACUUGGAUAACCGUGGUAAUUCUAGAGCUAAUACAUGCUAAAAAUCCCGACUCCGGAAGGGAUGUAUUUAUUAGAUUAAAAGCCAAUGCCCUCUGGGCUCUCUGGUGAUUCAUGAUAACUUCUCGAAUCGCACGGCCUUGCGCCGGCGAUGGUUCAUUCAAAUUUCUUCCCUAUCAACUUUCGAUGUUUGGGUAGUGGCCAAACAUGGUUGCAACGGGUAACGGAGGGUUAGGGCUCGACCCCGGAGAAGGAGCCUGAGAAACGGCUACUACAUCCAAGGAAGGCAGCAGGCGCGCAAAUUACCCAAUCCCGACUCGGGGAGGUAGUGACAAUAAAUACUGAUACAGGGCCCUUUCGGGUCUUGUAAUUGGAAUGAGUACAAUUUAAAUCCCUUAACGAGGAACAAUUGGAGGGCAAGUCUGGUGCCAGCAGCCGCGGUAAUUCCAGCUCCAAUAGCGUAUAUUAAAGUUGUUGUGGUUAAAAAGCUCGUAGUUGAACCUUGGGCCUGGCGGGCUGGUCCGCCUCACCGCGUGCACUAGUCCCGCCGGGCCUUUCCCUCUGCGGAGCCCCAUGCCCUUCACUGGGCGUGGCGGGGAAGCAGGACGUUUACUUUGAAAAAAUUAGAGUGCUCCAGGCAGGCGUAUGCUCGAAUACAUUAGCAUGGAAUAAUGAAAUAGGACGCGCGGUUCUAUUUUGUUGGUUUCUGGGACCGCCGUAAUGAUUAAUAGGGACAGUCGGGGGCAUCAGUAUUCAAUUGUCAGAGGUGAAAUUCUUGGAUUUAUUGAAGACUAACAACUGCGAAAGCAUCUGCCAAGGAUGUUUUCAUUAAUCAGGAACGAAAGUUAGGGGAUCGAAGACGAUCAGAUACCGUCGUAGUCUUAACCAUAAACUAUGCCGACUAGGGAUCGGACGAUGUUAUUCAUUGACUCGUUCGGCACCUUACGAGAAAUCAAAG
rnacentral:rRNA from 1 species